UGGUGGGUAGUUUGACUGGGGCGGUCUCCUCCUAAAGAGUAACGGAGGAGCACGAAGGUUGGCUAAUCCUGGUCGGACAUCAGGAGGUUAGUGCAAUGGCAUAAGCCAGCUUGACUGCGAGCGUGACGGCGCGAGCAGGUGCGAAAGCAGGUCAUAGUGAUCCGGUGGUUCUGAAUGGAAGGGCCAUCGCUCAACGGAUAAAAGGUACUCCGGGGAUAACAGGCUGAUACCGCCCAAGAGUUCAUAUCGACGGCGGUGUUUGGCACCUCGAUGUCGGCUCAUCACAUCCUGGGGCUGAAGUAGGUCCCAAGGGUAUGGCUGUUCGCCAUUUAAAGUGGUACGCGAGCUGGGUUUAGAACGUCGUGAGACAGUUCGGUCCCUAUCUGCCGUGGGCGCUGGAGAACUGAGGGGGGCUGCUCCUAGUACGAGAGGACCGGAGUGGACGCAUCACUGGUGUUCGGGUUGUCAUGCCAAUGGCACUGCCCGGUAGCUAAAUGCGGAAGAGAUAAGUGCUGAAAGCAUCUAAGCACGAAACUUGCCCCGAGAUGAGUUCUCCCUGACUCCUUGAGAGUCCUGAAGGAACGUUGAAGACGACGACGUUGAUAGGCCGGGUGUGUAAGCGCAGCGAUGCGUUGAGCUAAC
rnacentral:rRNA from 1 species